rnacentral:rRNA from 1 species
GAUGAACGCUGGCGGCGUGCCUAAUACAUGCAAGUCGAGCGAACAGACGAGGAGCUUGCUCCUCUGACGUUAGCGGCGGACGGGUGAGUAACACGUGGAUAACCUACCUAUAAGACUGGGAUAACUUCGGGAAACCGGAGCUAAUACCGGAUAAUAUAUUGAACCGCAUGGUUCAAUAGUGAAAGACGGUUUUGCUGUCACUUAUAGAUGGAUCCGCGCCGCAUUAGCUAGUUGGUAAGGUAACGGCUUACCAAGGCAACGAUGCGUAGCCGACCUGAGAGGGUGAUCGGCCACACUGAAACUGAGACACGGUCCAGACUCCUACGGGAGGCAGCAGUAGGGAAUCUUCCGCAAUGGGCGAAAGCCUGACGGAGCAACGCCGCGUGAGUGAUGAAGGUCUUCGGAUCGUAAAACGCUGUUAUUAGGGAAGAACAAAUGUGUAAGUAACUAUGCACGUCUUGACGGUACCUAAUCAGAAAGCCACGGCUAACUACGU